rnacentral:rRNA from 1 species
CCUACGGGAGGCAGCAGUGAGGAAUAUUGGUCAAUGGGCGCAAGCCUGAACCAGCCAAGUCGCGUGAGGGAUGACGGUCCUAUGGAUUGUAAACCUCUUUUGUCGGGGAGCAAGGUCCGCCACGUGUGGCGGGAAGGAGAGUACCCGAAGAAAAAGCAUCGGCUAACUCCGUGCCAGCAGCCGCGGUAAUACGGAGGAUGCGAGCGUUAUCCGGAUUUAUUGGGUUUAAAGGGUGCGUAGGCGGAAGGUUAAGUCAGCGGUAAAAUGUCGGUGCUCAACACCGGCCUGCCGUUGAAACUGGUCUUCUUGAGUGAGCGAGAAGUAUGCGGAAUGCGUGGUGUAGCGGUGAAAUGCAUAGAUAUCACGCAGAACUCCGAUUGCGAAGGCAGCAUACCGGCGCUCAACUGACGCUGAGGCACGAAGGCGUGGGGAUCGAACAGGAUUAGAUACCCUUGUAGUC